GUUCGUUGGCUCCAGAUUGAACGCUGGCGGGAUGCUUUACACAUGCAAGUCGAACGGCAACCACGGACUUCAGUCUGGUGGCGAGUGGCGAACGGGUGAGUAAUGUAUCGGAACGUGCCUAGUAGCGGGGGAUAACUACGCGAAAGCGUAGCUAAUACCGCAUACGCCCUUCGGGGGAAAGCGGGGACCGCUGAGGCCUCGCCACUAUUAAACGGCCGAUAUCGGAUUAGCUAGUUGGUGGAGGUAACGGCUCACCAAGGCAGCGAUCGUAGCUGGUUUGAGAGGACAGCCAGCCACACUGGGACUGAGACACGGCCCGGAGCUCCUACGGAGAGGCAACGGUGGGGAAUUUUGGACAAUGGGGGAAACCUGAUCCAGCCAUCCGCGUGUGCGAUGAAGGCCUUCGGGUUGUAAAGAAAACUACUUUUGGCAGGAAAGAAACGGCACGGGAUAAUACCCCGUGCAACUGACGGUACCUGCAGAAUAAGCACCGGCUAACUACGUGUAGCAGCGCGGUAAUACGUAGGGUGCAAGCGUUAAUCGGAAUUACUGGGCGUAAAGCGUGCGCAGGCGGUUCGGAAGAAAGAUGUGAGAAAUCCCAGAGCUUAACUUUGGAACUGCAUUUUUAACUACCGAGCUAGAAGUGUGUCAGAGGAGGUGGAAUUCCGCGUGUAGCAGUGAAAUGCGUAGAUAUGCGGAGGAACACCGAUGGCGAAGGCAACCUCCUGGGAUAACACUGACGCUCAUGCACGAAAGCGUGGGGAGCAGAGCAGGAUUAGAUACCCUGGUAGUCCACGCCUAAACGAUGUCAACUAGCUGUUGGGGCCUUCGGGCUUGGUAGCGCAACUAACGCGUGAAGUUGACCGCCUGGAAAUACGGUCGCAAGAUUAAAACUCAAAGGGAAUUGACGAGGACCCGCACAAGCGGUGGAUGAUGUGAUGUGGAUUAAUUCGAUGCAACGCGAAAAACCUUACCUACCGCCAGCAUGUCUGGAAUCCCGAAGAGAUUUGGGAGUGCUCGCAAGAGAACCGGAACACAGGUGCUGCAUGGCUGUCGUCAGCUCGUGUCGUGAGAUGUUGGGUUAAGUCCCACCAACGAGCGCAACCCUUGUCAUUAGUUGCUACGAAGGGCACUCUAAUGAGACUGCCGGUGACAAACCGGAGGAAGGUGGGGAUGACGUCAAGUCCUCAUAGCCCUUAUGGGUAGGGCUUCACACGUCAUACAAUGGUCGGGACAGAGGGUCCUCCAACCCGCGAGGGAGCCAAUCCCAGAAACCCGAUCGUAGUCCGGAUCGCAGUCUGCAACUCGACUGCGUGAAGUCGGAAUCGCUGGUAAUCGCGGAUCAGCAUGUCGCGGUGAAUACGUUCCCGGGUCUUGUACACACCGCCCGUCACACCAUGGGAGUGGGUUUUACCAGAAGUAGUUAGCCUAACCGUAAGGAGGGCGAUUACCACGGUAGGAUUUCAUGACUGGGGUGAAGUCGUAACUGGGUAG
rnacentral:rRNA from 1 species